CCCUUAGACUUUCUGGGCCGCACGCGCGCUACACUGACCAGUGCAACAAGCAUCCGUCCUUGGCCGACAGGCCCGGGCAAUCUUUGAACGCUGGUCGUGAUGGGGAUAGACUUUUGCAAUUUUUGGUCUUCAACGAGGAAUUCCUAGUAAACGCAAGUCAUCAACUUGCAUUGAUUACGUCCCUGCCCUUUGUACACACCGCCCGUCGCACCUACCGAUUGAAUGGUCCGGUGAAGCCUCCGGAUUGGCGCGCACCUCGGUGCCGCCGAGAAGUUGGCUAAACCUUACCAUUUAGAGGAAGGUGAAGUCGUAACA
rnacentral:rRNA from 1 species